rnacentral:lncRNA from 1 species
CCUCUUGUACUUUGUCUCCAGCUCGAACAACCAAUUUGUACUGAUUUUUGAACAUGGAUGCCAUAUAAACCUGCUAAGAAUUCGUAAAAGACCCAAAUUUAUUCAAUAUCCAAUACCUAAAACCAAUCAAGGAAGAAAAAGAAGAUCACCAGAAAUGUUGGGACGAAAGUCUCAUACAAACACUUUCUUCUUUAUUUGGACUAGAAAAGAAACAAACCUAAAAGUGCUAUAUAAACAAACUAGCAAAGACUGUUUCUUUUUGGGACUGAAUAAAUGAUCUUUUCCCUUUAUUCAAUUCCCAUCCAACAACAUUAGGCACAUGAUCUUGAUUUGGCCAUGCUGAUUCAAAUAAAAGUAAAUAAAAAAAAGUCUCAUGAGUGCCCUUGCCUUAUUUUUCUUUUCUUGAAGACAAGAGGAUCAACACUUGAAGAGAAUCCAAACCUACAAAGUCUGACCUUUUUCUUGUCAUCUUCUUCGGUGGGUGUUACAUAUUUUAUCCCAAAUCUGAAAACAAAGAAUACAUUGAUAUGAUUAUAUGUCAAAAUAAUAUCUUCUUUUUAAUUUAUGAUGAGUUAUUAUUAUUUGAUGAUAUGUUCAUAAAAACCACUAUGUUGCAGCCUUUUUUUUUUCAGCUCCUUCACUUCCUUUGUGACACCAGAACCUUCCGAGCCAGGUGCAGUAGCAAACCUGAAGUACAAAAAGUCAUUUUUAUUAAGUAACAACAGUGUUGCAGAAAUCAACAUUGGUAGCUGAUUAAUUGCAUGACAACCUUGAACCAAUUACGAUUACGGUGCUUGGCAGAAAUUGGUCAUAAUCGGUCAAACUCGGGCUUGUCGGUCCUUAGCGGCCUUGGUGGUCCUCGGCGGUCAUAGGCAGGAAAUAUUUAAAAAAUUCCAAAAAAAUAAUUAUCAAAUAUUACAACAAAAUUUUAAAAUUUUAAACUUUUAAGCUUUCAAAUUUUUAAAUAUUAUACUAAAAUUUUUAAAAUUUCAAAAUUUUAAAGCUUAAAAUUUCUAAAUACUUAAUUUUUUAGGAAAUAUUAAUUUUUUAAAUAAUUUUAUUAAUAAUUUAGGGUCCCCGAUUAAUCCCUGCCGAGUCUGAUUAAUCGUUUAUUGUUAGUCAACCGUCAAGCUACCACCGAACGAUUUUUACAAACUUGAGUAAUAAUAAAAAUCGUUAAAAGUACAUAAAAUCUAAAAUAAUAAGCUAUUUUUUUACAACUUUUACUGACUUUUUGACAAAAACUAUUAGUGAAACCAAAUAGAGGUACGACAGUGAAAAUCAUCUAUAUUUUAAUAAAUCAAGAUAUUUGUAUGCAAAACUGUAGUUAGAAAUAGUUACAUGGUGGAUUAUAUUUUUAAAUAAACAUAAAGACAUCUAUCGUAACUCUGGUUNUUUUUUUUUUUUUUUUUUUUUUUUUUUUUUUUGCUGAAAUAGAUGUCUCGUAUUGAUAUUCAAUACAAAUAUUGCACAUUUUCACUCCCUAAUGGGUCCUUAACUCUUUUAGCACUAAAAAUUCCAGAAAAGUAAAUUUAACUGUGUUAGAUUUCACCAAGCCAAAUUUGAAAAGGAAGUGAGUGGCUGCUAAAGUAACAUGACCACAUAUUUCCACCUGGAUAGAAGAAACUGAGAACAUAAUAAUUCUAACCUGAAAAAAUAAAGAUAAAAGCACAUUAGAUAGAAUUUAAAUUCAAGUCAACAGAAGUCAAUACACACGGGGUGUAUUCUUCCAUGUCUUGCCACCACAAUUGCAUUCUGUCUUAAAAAAAUUAAAAAUUAAUAAAUGAUAAAAAUAAGUUAAAAUUGUUACAAGAAUAGACAUUUAGAAAUACAUACAUGUUAGAAUAUACCAUUGUCAUAUGCGUCCAUGAAACUUUUUGAUUAGACAUUAUUCUUAAUCGUUUGUCACCGAUCCAUUCUUCCAUGUCUUGUAUUACGAUCAAAUAACUAUAGAAAAAAAUAUGCCAUAUCCAAUCAAGUAUAUGGUAACAUACAACUGAAUUGUUUAGUAUAGUAUAAAGAAUACAAACUAUAUACACAUCAUUUGAAUCUUGCAAAGGAAUACCAAGCUGUUAACAUCAAUGUCUUAAAAGUAAAAGUGUUUUUCUAUGUUUUCGGUAUACCCUCCUUCGAUUCCUUCUGGAAACUCUUCUUCUUCUAUUCAUGGCUAGAACCUGGGCUGAGUGAGACCAUUCGGCCAUGGUUUAGCUGCUUCAACCCAACCAUGAUCCAGUCAGCUAUAAUACAACAACUAAUUUACAAUGAAACGACAUUCACUCGACUCUUUUGGUGCACAAUAGAAUCACAUGCUUCAUCUCCUCUGUACCCAGCCAUGUCUGAACCACCACCUGCCCAAAAAAUAUAUACGAAUAUAAUAUGUCAUUUACAAUAAAUAUGAGAAAAAAUGUAUGUUGCAACUGGUAAUAAAAGUAUAUCUAUGAGUUUAUAUUCAAGCAACAAAUCUGGCAUUGAAAAGUCAAAAUAUACCUCUUGUACUUUGUCUCCAGCUCGAACAACCAAUUUGUACUGAUUCUUGAACAUGGAUGCCAUAUAAACCUGCUAAGAAUUCAUAAAAGACCCAAAUUUAUUCAAUACCCGAUACCUAAAACCAAUCAAGGAAGAAAAAAAAGAUCACCAGAAAUGUUGGGACGGAAGUCUCAUACAAACACUUUCUUCUUUAUUUGGACUAGAAAAGAAACAAACCUAAAAGUGCUAUAUAAACAAACUAGCAAAGACUGUUUCUUUUUGGGACUGAAUAAAUGAUCUUUUCCCUUUAUUCAAUUCCCAUCCAACUGCAUUAGGCACAUGAUCUUGAUCUGGCCAUGCUGAUUCAAAUAAAAGUAAUAAAAAAAGUCUCACGAGUGCCCUUGCCUUAUUUUUCUUUUCUUGAAGACAAGAGGAUCAAAACUUGAAGAGAAUCCAAACCUACAAAGUCUGACCUUUUUCUUGUCAUCUUCUUCAGUGGGUGUUACAUAUUUUAUCCCAAAUCUGAAAACAAAGAAUACAUUGAUAUGAUUAUAUGUCAAAAUAAUAUCUUCUUUUUAAUUUAUGAUGAGUUAUUAUUAUUUGAUGAUAUAUUCAUAAAAACCACUAUGUUGCAGCCUUUUUUUUUCAGCUCCUUCACUUCCUUUGUGACACCAGAACCUUCCGAGCCAGGUGCAGUACCAAACCUGAAGUACAAAAAGUCGUUUUUAUUAAGUAACAACAGUGUUGCAGAAAUCAACAUUGAUAGCCGAUUAAUUGCAUGACAGCCUCAAACCAAUUACGAUUACGAUGCUUGGCAGAAAUUGGUCAUAAUCGGUCAAACUCGGGCUUGUCGGUCCUUAGCGGCCUUGGCGGUCCUCGGCGGUCAUAGGCAGGAAAUAUUUAAAAAAUUCCAAAAAAAUAAUUAUCAAAUAUUACAACAAAAUUUUAAAUUUUCAAAUUUUUAAGCUUUCAAGUUUUUAAAUAUUAUACUAAAAUUUUUAAAAUUUCAAAAUUUUAAAGUUUAAAAUUUCCAAAUACUUAAUUUUUUAGGAAAUAUUAAUUUUUUAAAUAAUUUUAUUAAUAAUUUAGGGUCCCUGAUUAAUCCCUACCGAGUCUGAUUAAUCGUUUAUUGUUAGUCAACCGUCGAGCUACCACCGAACAAUUUUUAUAAACUUGAGUAACAAUAAAAAUCGUUAAAAGUACAAAAAAUCUAAAAUAAUAACCUA